rnacentral:snRNA from 1 species
GCUGAGUUAUAUCGUAAUCCAGCU